AAAGCAUUCACCAUGGAGAAGAAUUUUGUGUUCAGCUUCUCAACCCUUGGCCUGCAUUGCCUCAAGGUGCUUUGAACAGCUCUGAAACUGGAAGCACUGCUUGUUCCCAGGAAUCAUCAGUGCCUGACCUUAAACCACAGCCUAACAGGCUCCAAGGGAUCCUCCCUGCCUGGGGUGUUGUUUGUGGGACUGCUGGUGGCUCUGCAGCCUGGAUCCCAAGGAGUGUUCCCAUCCCAUCACCACUGCCUGCCAGCAUCGGGAUCACGGCCACCCAGGGAGUUGGACAUCAUGGAGCUGGACACACACCAGGGUAGGUAAUGGAUGUGAUCCCCAAAAUUGGAAAAGCCAGCAUGAAAACUCUGACUCAG